rnacentral:rRNA from 1 species
UACGUAGGAUGCGAGCGUUGUCCGGAGUUACUGGGCGUAAAGGGUGCGCAGGCGGCGUCACGCGUGGAUAGUUGAAAUCUCCUGGCUUACCUGGGAGGGCGGUAUCCAGACGGUGGCGCUUGAGGGUCGGAGAGGGGGGUGGAAUUCCGCGUGUAGCAGUGAAAUGCGUAGAGAUGCGGAGGAACACCGAUGGCGAAGGCAGCCCCCUGGGCCAACACUGACGCUCAGGCACGAAAGCGUGGGGAGCAAACAGG